rnacentral:rRNA from 1 species
GAGUUUUGAUCCUGGCUCAGGAUGAACGCUAGCUACAGGCUUAACACAUGCAGGUCGAGGGGAAACGAUAUUGGAAGCUUGCUUCCGAUAGGCGUCGACCGGCGUACGGGUGAGUAACGCGUAUCCAACCUGCCCACCACUUGGGGAUAACCUUGCGAAAGUAAGACUAAUACCCAAUGACGUCUCUAGAAGACAUCUGAAAGAGAUUAAAGAUUUAUCGGUGAUGGAUGGGGAUGCGUCUGAUUAGCUUGUUGGCGGGGUAACGGCCCACCAAGGCAACGAUCAGUAGGGGUUCUGAGAGGAAGGUCCCCCACAUUGGAACUGAGACACGGUCCAAACUCCUACGGAGGCAGCA